rnacentral:rRNA from 1 species
GACGAACGCUGGCGGCGUGCUUAACACAUGCAAGUCAAACGGAAAGGCCCCUUUGGGGGUACUCGAGUGGCGAACGGGUGAGUAACACGUGAGUAACCUGCCCUUGACUUCGGGAUAACUUCAGGAAACUGGGGCUAAUACCGGAUAGGAAUCCUUGCUGCAUGGGGGGGGUUGGAAAGCUUCGGCGGUUUUGGAUGGACUCGCGGCUUAUCAGCUUGUUGGUGGGGUAGUGGCUUACCAAGGCUUUGACGGGUAGCGGGCCUGAGAGGGCGACCGGCCACAUUGGGACUGAGAUACGGCCCAGACGCCUACUGGUGGCAGCAGUGGGGAAUAUUGCACAAUGGGCGGCAGCCUGAUGCAGCAAGGCCGCGUGCGGGAUGACGGCCUUCGGGUUGUAAACCGCUUUCAGCAGGGGCGAAGCUUGUGGUGACGGUACCUGCAGAAGAAGCACCGGCUAACUACGUG